UAGUACGGCGAGUGAGAGGAAGAGCUCAAAGUUGGAACCUGUUUGGCCUAGCUAAACCGGAUUGUAGACUGUAGAAGUGUUUUCCAGGCAAGCCGAGUAAAUAAGUCCUUUGGAACAGGGCAUCAUAGAGGGUGAGAAUCCCGUCUUUGGCUUGAGCAUUUGCCUUUUGUGAUACGCUUUCAAAGAGUCAGGUUGUUUGGGAAUGCAGCCUAAAUUGGGUGGUAAAUCUCACCUAAAGCUAAAUAUUGGCGAGAAACCGAUAGCGAACAAGUACCGUGAGGGAAAGAUGAAAAGAACUUUGAAAAGAGAGUUAAACAGUAUGUGAAAUUGUUAAAAGGGAACCGUUUGGAGCCAGACUGGCUUGUCUGUAAUCAAUCUAGGCUUCGGCCUGGAUGCACUUGCAGGCUAUGCCUGCCAACGACAAUUUGACUUGAGGGAAAAAACUAGGGGAAAUGUGGCCCACUUGUGGGUGUUAUAGUCCCUUAGAAAAUACCUUGGGUUGGAUUGAGGAACGCAGCGAAUGCUUAUUGGCGAGUUUUCCAGGAAGGUUUUCUGAGGUACUACGGUAUCAAGGUUGAUCUUUUUGGUUAUACUUCUAUUCGCUUAGGUUGUUGGCUUAAUGACUCUAAAUGACCCGUCUUGAAACACGGACCAAGGAGUCCACCAUUAGUGCGAGUAUUUGGGUGCCAAACCCAUACCGUAAGGAAACUGAUUGAUACGAAUCCAUUAAGGAGGCAGUAUCGUCCGGCGCUGACGUUUUAUACUGAAUUGACCGAGCCAAAGCACUAAUGAUGGGACCCGAAAGAUGGUGAACUAUGCCUGAAUAGGGUGAAGCCAGAGGAAACUCUGGUGGAGGCUCGUAGCGAUUCUGACGUGCAAAUCGAUCGUCAAAUUUGGGUAUAGGGCGAACGACUAUCG
rnacentral:rRNA from 1 species